rnacentral:rRNA from 1 species
CGUAGGGUGCAAGCGUUGUCCGGAAUUAUUGGGCGUAAAGAGCUCGUAGGCGGUCUGUCGCGUCGGUCGUGAAAACUUGGGGCUUAACCCUGAGCUUGCGGUCGAUACGGGCAUGACUGGAGUUCGGCAGGGGAGACUGGAAUUCCUGGUGUAGCGGUGAAAUGCGCAGGAUAUCAGGAGGAACACCGGUGGCGAAGGCGGGGUUGCUGGGCUGACACUGACGCUGAGCGCGAAAGCUAGGGGAGCGAACGGG